UGCUAAAACGUAAACAAACGUGAAUCAUAGAGAAAAUCUGCAAAGUUAAGUGCCAUAAUUCGCCAGGAUUGAUUACCUUCUGCUAUGAAACCUUAGCUCAGGCCAAGGGAACGUCGUUGCCUUCGUUUCAGAAGAGUGAGCGUCGAUGGUGAAGGUGUCCUGAAGGUGUGGGGGAUCACUAGGAGUCAUUAGGACCUGGCGACCUGUCCUUCGCCGAUCGCGCCGUGGUAAUGAGGGUGAAGCGCCUCCGGCAGACGGCGUUUCGCUGCGACGGCGG